AGCUCGUAGGCGGUUUGUCGCGUCUGCUGUGUAAACCCGAGGCUCAACCUCGGGCCUGCAGUGGGUACGGGCAGACUAGAGUGCGGUAGGGGAGAUUGGAACUCCUGGUGUAGCGGUGGAAUGCGCAGAUAUCAGGAAGAACACCGAUGGCGAAGGCAGAUCUCUGGGCCGUAACUGACGCUGAGGAGCGAAAGGGUGGGGAGCAAACAGGCUUAGAUACCCUGGUAGUCCACCCCGUAAACGUUGGGAACUAGUUGUGGGGUCCAUUCCACGGAUUCCGUGACGCAGCUAACGCAUUAAGUUCCCCGCCUGGGGAGUACGGCCGCAAGGCUAAAACUCAAAGGAAUUGACGGGGACCCGCACAAGCGGCGGAGCAUGCGGAUUAAUUCGAUGCAACGCGAAGAACCUUACCAAGGCUUGACAUAUAGAGGAAACGUCUGGAAACAAUCGCCCCGCAAGGUCUCUAUACAGGUGGUGCAUGGUUGUCGUCAGCUCGUGUCGUGAGAUGUUGGGUUAAGUCCCGCAACGAGCGCAACCCUCGUUCUAUGUUGCCAGCACGUAAUGGUGGGAACUCAUGGGAUACUGCCGGGGUCAACUCGGAGGAAGGUGGGGAUGACGUCAAAUCAUCAUGCCCCUUAUGUCUUGGGCUUCACGCAUGCUACAAUGGCCGGUACAAAGGGCUGCAAUACCGUAAGGUGGAGCGAAUCCCAAAAAGCCGGUCCCAGUUCGGAUUGAGGUCUGCAACUCGACCUCAUGAAGUCGGAGUCGCUAGUAAUCGCAGAUCAGCAA
rnacentral:rRNA from 1 species